AAGUCGUAACAAGGUUUCCGUAGGUGAACCUGCGGAAGGAUCAUUAACGAGUUAGGGUCUUCCAGGCCCGACCUCCCAACCCUAUGUUUAUUGAACCUCUGUUGCUUCGGCGGACCCGUCUCACGGCCGCCGGAGGACCGCUGAAAGGCGUCCUCUGGCCCGCGUCCGCCGAUGGCCAACCACUCAAACUCUGAAUCAAUCGUGUCAUAUGUCUGAGUCUAUGAUUAAAUUAAAGCAAAACUUUCAACAACGGAUCUCUUGGUUCUG
rnacentral:misc_RNA from 1 species